GAUGGACGCUAGCGGGAGGCCUAACACAUGCAAGCCGAGCGGUAGAGUCUCUUCGGAGACUUGAGAGCGGCGCACGGGUGCGGAACACGUGUGCAACCUGCCUUUAUCUGGGGGAUAGCCUUUCGAAAGGAAGAUUAAUACCCCAUAAUAUACUGGAUGGCAUCAUCUGGUAUUGAAAACUCCGGUGGAUAGAGAUGGGCACGCGCAAGAUUAGAUAGUUGGUGAGGUAACGGCUCACCAAGUCAGCGAUCUUUAGGGGGCCUGAGAGGGUGAUCCCCCACACUGGUACUGAGACACGGACCAGACUCCUACGGGAGGCAGCAGUGAGGAAUAUUGGACAAUGGGUGAGAGCCUGAUCCAGCCAUCCCGCGUGAAGGACGACGGCCCUAUGGGUUGUAAACUUCUUUUGUAUAGGGAUAAACCUAGAUACGUGUAUCUAGCUGAAGGUACUAUACGAAUAAGCACCGGCUAACUCCGUG
rnacentral:rRNA from 1 species